GAUGAACUCUGUCAGAUUUUUAUUAUCUCCUUAACCAAUAACAGGUAGGGGAUAAUAAAUUUCUUCUCCUCCUGUUUUGAAAUUUAUUAAUUCCCCAGUUGAGUUGAGUGCGUAUUUCCUUAGGGAAAUCGCUUUUCCUGCAUGAUCCAAGUAUGUCGGUUUUAUCCUGAUCUACUCGUUUUCCCUACAGAUGUUUUUGUCCUCCCAGCUGAGUCUUUCCAUUUUUUAUGGAAUUCUUC
rnacentral:lncRNA from 1 species